rnacentral:rRNA from 1 species
CCUACGGGAGACAGCAGUGGGGAAUAUUGCGCAAUGGGCGAAAGCCUGACGCAGCGACGCCGCGUGAGGGAUGAAGGUCUUCGGAUCGUAAACCUCUGUCAGCAGGGAAGAACGGACACGGUGCUAAGCAGAAGUGAAUUGACGGUACAUGCAAAGGAAGCACCGGCUAAAGCCGUGCCAGCAGCCGCGGUAAUACGGAGGGUGCGAGCGUUAAGCGGAAUUACUGGGCGUAAAGCGCUCGUAGGCGGUCUGGCAAGUCAAGGGGGAAAUCCCCGCGCUCAACGUGGGAACUGCCUUUGAAACUGGCAACCUGGAGUUUGUGAGCGGCUAGUGGACUUCCAGGUGU